rnacentral:rRNA from 1 species
GAUGAACGCUGGCGGCGUGCCUAAUACAUGCAAGUCGAGCGAACGGACGAGAAGCUUGCUUCUCUGAUGUUAGCGGCGGACGGGUGAGUAACACGUGGAUAACCUACCUAUAAGACUGGGAUAACUUCGGGAAACCGGAGCUAAUACCGGAUAAUAUUUUGAACCGCAUGGUUCAAAAGUGAAAGACGGUCUUGCUGUCACUUAUAGAUGGAUCCGCGCUGCAUUAGCUAGUUGGUAAGGUAACGGCUUACCAAGGCAACGAUGCAUAGCCGACCUGAGAGGGUGAUCGGCCACACCGGAACUGAGACACGGUCCAGACUCCUACGGGAGGCAGCAGUAGGGAAUCUUCCGCAAUGGGCGAAAGCCUGACGGAGCAACGCCGCGUGAGUGGUGAAGGUCUUCGGAUCGUAAAACUCUGUUAUUAGGGAAGAACAUAUGUGUAAGUAACUGUGCACAUCUUGACGGUACCUAAUCAGAAAGCCACGGCUAACUACGU